rnacentral:tRNA from 1 species
AGUUUAUGAACUUGAACAAGUGUAUACUUUGAAAGUAUAACAAAAUGGUACAACCCAUUAUAAACUU